UGACCCCCAUAAAGCAUAACACAAUAUGAAAUAUGUGAAUAAAUAAAUCUAUAAUUUUCUCUUAUAAUUCACGUUUAUCAGGUUAUGCCCUACCCAAACACGUUUACCUCAGGAGCAUAGUGCCAGUGGCACUCAUGUCAGUUUGCAGUGUCAAAGCCACGCCUGAUGUGACCAUGUUUCGGGGCAAAUGAAGGCAGGAAUUUACAAACCUCCAAUGUCUAUGUCAAUGUCUAUGUCAGGCUAAUUUUGCAAGUCACAUACAGAGUUUUUUGUUUGCACUAUACCAAUUGUUCCUGUUUGAACAGCAAAAUCCCGAUCUAAUCCUUCAGUUCUAUAUGAAGCAAUGAUAUCUCUUUCAAAGACAAAUUUGAAUAAUAAAGAGAAAUCCUUUCACCACCCUGAUACCAGAAGAGGUGUCCUUGGUAAAAAAAAACGUCUGAGGAAUCUCAUUUGUGCAUCUGAUUCAGAUGGCACCAGGGAGCUUAUAGACACUUCAAAUGGUUGCAGACUGCAGGCCACCUGACUUUGUUCAAAGCAGGUUUAUUUCAGAAAAUGCAUGUUUCUGAAUCAAUCUCAGGGUGGAAAGAUGGGAAUUGGUGUAGAAAUGCAUUAGGAUUUCAAAUGAUAAGUAAUUGUGCAUAUUAAGGUUCUGAAAAAUACAUGAAGUCACAUUGCAUUUCAGAAGGCUAAAUGUCCCUCCUGAGUAAACAAUUGCUAAGCUUUAUCACUUUUGUUUUUGCCAGCCCCCGGAUGUAGUUAUGAUGUAAACUAAACAAAUACCCAGUUACAAACCUGUCCUCCCAUUCCUCUUGUCUCUGACAGCUUAAUUACCCUCGGCGCAUCUUACACAUAAAUGUUGUAAACGUCCCACUGACUGGUUUGAUGACGAAGUCAGAGAUGAGUGUUUAAUAUUACGGGGUUUAUCAGAGCAAUGUCUCUGCACCUCAUAAAAUAUGACCUUUCACAGUCUUUAUAAAAAUGAACAUUCUCCAGAACUUUUAACACGUGAGCCAUGUAAACUCCCCAUGUCCCUGUGGAGUGUGUGGUGUAACAGAAACAUUUCUUACAUAACCCGUUCCAUAUGUGCCUCACUCUGCUACAAUAUGCGUAAUAUGUUCCAGUGUUGCAUAUGCAAGGAAUUAACUGCUGGCCAGAAAACGCAGCUGAUCUCCGGACCAAAAACGCAAUUGUACACUCUCUUCAUCAUAAUGCCUAAAUUCUUCGGAGAACAUUUACCAAAAAAUUGUCUAAAAGCAUUAUAGUGUUAAGAGUGUGUGUGCAUAUGUAAGUGUUUGUCAUCUGCUGGGCUAUAAAGGAGUCAUGCGGGUCCUUUUUAUGUUGUGCGUACCUUGUGUACCUUGUAUCACACCAAAGAAACACAACCACAUGAACCAGUAAAGUUGGUUUGUCCUCCAGUGCUCAGAGAAAGGAGGCAUCCACUAGUCAGACACUAGAAUGAAAUUAAUUACAUUAUUACACUGAUUGUGCAGCAUGCUGAAACAUUUGUCUGAUAUUUGUUUAUUGCUUGGUGCAAGAAGGCUGCACCUGUGGCUAUUCAAUGUCAUAAUUAAGAAAACUGUUUAUUCUAGAAUUCUUCUACUAGUAAAUUGGUUCCUAUGCACAUUUCAACCUAAAAUUGAACCUACCUGGUACGUUCCUUUUCAUGACAACAUGAAAUGGAAUGG
rnacentral:lncRNA from 1 species